rnacentral:sRNA from 1 species
AUAUUUGUUUUGACAUAAAUUUGAGAUUCAGUUAUCUAAGAAACUUCUUCUUCUUCAACAAUGGCGGCUUGAUUUGAUUUUUGCUCUCUCUCAUGUGUCAAACUCGUUUCAUCUAUGUAGCAUCGAGAUUCCGGUUAAUCGAAUUUCCUGUUAUUAUGGACAUGGUAUACAGAAUGGAUAUAGAGCAGUAAAAAUGUUUCUGAAUGGAUAUAUUUAAAUGGACUCGUUAUUAUGGACAUCAAAACAUUGUUUGUUGAUUUUUCUUUCGGUUUGCAGAGACCUCUACCUUCAAAACCUUAUGGACAUGGAACUUUGGUUUCUUUACAAAACACAGUUAAUCGAAUCUCCUGUUAUUAUUGACAUGGUAUAUAGAAUGGAUAUAGAUCAGUAGAAAGGUUUCUGAAUGGAUAUAUUUAAAUGAACUCGUUAUUAUGGACACCAAAUAAUUGUUUGUUGAUUUUUCUUUCAGUUUUGAAGAGACCUCCACUUCCAAGACCUUAUGGACAUGAAAUUUUGGUUUAUUUACAAACUACGGUUAAUCGAAUCUCCUGUUAUUAUGGACAUGGUAUAUAGAAUGAAUAUGAAUCAGUAAAAAGUUUUCUGAAUGGAUAUAUUUAAAUGGACUCUUUAUUAUGGACACCACCUCUGAGACCUUAUGGACACAAAACUUUUACCAAAUUCCUGAGAUAAUCGAGAUCGAAUUGUUUAAGAAACUUCUCCAAAAGUUGUGGAGACGUGGAGAGAGAGAGAGAGAGAGAGAGAGAG